GUCGCUGCCCGGAACUGAGCCGUUUCGAGAAGCCUGGGGACUGCAGAUCUGGGACCUUCACGGGUCUUUGAUCAGUGGAAACCAAGUUAAUCGCAGCGGCUUGAACCGGGCAA
rnacentral:rRNA from 1 species